UUGUCUAGGGUCUACACACUUUCUUUGAAAGCAUGUGACUCACAACACGACCAGAGGAGAAGGCACAAUGAUCGAAGCUGCAGGAGCUGCGGGCCCGGCACCACACUCUUCCAUUCAUGUGCGCAAUGAUCCGUGAAGGACACAAAAACAUAGUCCAAGCACUUGUGCUGGACCAGAGGGGACUGCAUAUGCGUGGUGGGAGGGUUCGUGGUGGAGUACCGGGACCAGUUGGCCAAGAACGAGGAUGGAGCAGUGGAUGUGGGAGGACUGCUGCUGCUGCCGCUGCUGAUGAUGAUGUGAUGUGGAGUUGACGCCGUUCAUUUUCUGAUUGUGUGGAAAGUCGCAUGCUGUAGUUGGCGGAGACGCACAGAGAGGUGAUUCACUUAAAAAAAUGACACCAUCUGACCGCAUGACACGCGACAUAGGAUGUGACCAAAAGUGUCAGGAAAAAUGUUGCUCGGGAAAAAUUCUCAAAAUGCUGUAACUUGAUAAGACACAUGCAGGAAAGAUAGAAUGUUGUAUGUUUUUUAAAAGUUUGCAGCUAAACCGUUCACCAUGUCAUGACACGCGAAAGUAGGAUUAUGUCGGAAAAAAAAACCAAAAGGUCAAAGAGUUUUGUAUACAAAUGUCAGCAUUUGACCAGAAAAAGACAGGAAAAGUUCAGAUACUUUAAAAAAAAAACAUUCUAAAAAUGUUCUCUAAAUAUCCUAAAUAGACGAGGGACUUGAUACAAACUGGAAAGAUACAAAUUUGGGAAAUGCUAGUUAACAAAUCGUUUAGACAAAUGUAUGUAUGUAUUAUCAUUAGACCAGGAAUGACACGAAGAGUUAAGAGUAUGACAAGUCAUAAAAAAAAAGUUGUGAAAAUGUUCUCGGAAUGCCUUAAGUUGAAGAGAAACAUGGAGGAAAAUAAAGAAAGGUGAAAAGUAGUUGUACAAAAGCUUUUGUGAAGUUGUGUAGUUGUUGAUGUAAUGUGAUAAGAAACAUGCAGGACAAGAUAAAAUGUAUGAAAAAUUGUUUUACAAAGAAAUUGGGCAAAAUGUUGUAGUUGUUGACCAAAAAUGACAUGAAAAAGUCACAUUUUGACAGAAAAGGCCAAAUGUAAUGAGAAACAUGCAGGAAAAGAGUAGAAUUUCAACCCAAACCCUGGUAAAAGUUGUUAUUUUGUGGCCAAAAAUGUGAAGAUGACAGAAAGAUCACAUUGUGACAUAAGGUUUGUUGGGAAGAAAAGGUAAAAGAAUGUUCUUUAAAUGCCCUGAAUAUUUGAAAGACAUGCAGGAAGAUACAGUAUUGAGAAGUAGUUGUACAAAAGUUUUCAUCGAAAUUCAGUGGAAUGUGAACAGAAAUGGCACGAAAAGUGCAGAUUUAGGCAAAGUAUGUAAUGGGGGGGGGGAGGGGGGCUGUAAUUAGAUGAGAAACGUGCAGGGAGGGUCAUGUUGGGUUUAGUGCAGUGACGUGCAGUGAGGGUCGUGGCAGGUGAGGUGGUGUGUCCCCUGCCUCCCGUCACUGGUUUAGUGCAGCUGUGUGGUCAGCUGUGGUGAGAGUGUUUGGCAGAUUCCUUCCCUGAACUCCUGCUGGGUGUAUUGGUCUCUGUGAUGACACACGUAACGUUAGGUUUUCCGGCUUCAGUGUUAAUGUUCCGAAAGGAGAUUUCAAACAAACGGGGUUCACAGCAGGGGCUGCAGAAGUUUCUCUAUUGUUUGUAGGCUCAAAGCACAGGAGUAAAAAGUAAAAACUAGUGAAUGCAUUUACCUCCAUGAGUUCCUUGCAGACAUGGAAAUGAUUAACCAAGUGUUUGUUGACCCCCCAUUUGGAAAGGUUAAGCGCGUGGUGCAGAUGUGCGGACAGAAGUGGAGGUCAGGCUGGAGAUCUGCAGCUGGGCGUUCGUGAUUGAGCAUGUGCUUCCUCAAAAUCAGGCAUGGUGGUUUUCCCCCCGAUGAGAAGUUAUUCUUAACAACAAAGGCUUUAAGGACGUGCACGGGCAGACGAUAAGAAAUGGGAGGAAGUUUUCUGUUUGGAACUCGUAGUAGAUGUAAGGUUAAUGUUUGAUGCAGCACAAAGGGCCAGUCUGUGUUAAACACCGCUGUUGUGUUGCCUUAACUGCAGUGGAAUCAUAAAGCAUACGUUUGAAAGGCAGCACAGUAGUAAAGGCUAAAUAAAACCAACCGCUCUACCUGUGGCACUGGAACUGCAGGAUUUCUUAGAGGUGUGUAAGGAUGGACACAUGUAGGUUGUGUAAGAAGAAGUUACCGUCAAAGUAAAUAACAUUUCCUGUGUAAGACGUUUGUGAGGUACCUUGAGGAUGUGAUGCAGUAUAAGCGUUGAAACACAAAGUGCCCAACAGAAGGGUCCACUUUGUAAUUGUUAAGUUGUUAAGGGAAGCAGUGGGAAAGACAGAGGUCAACUGCAGUUGUCGUAGCCGUUGAUGUAGUCCAGAAAGAAGUAAGAGAAACACAGUGCACGAGUAUGAAGUUGAAGGUUCCAAAGCGA